CGUAGGCGGCAUGGUAAGUCACUUGUGAAAUCUCCGAGCUUAACUCGGAACGGCCAAGUGAUACUGCUGAGCUAGAGUGCAGAAGGGGCAAUCGGAAUUCUUGGUGUAGCGGUGAAAUGCGUAGAUAUCAAGAGGAACACCUGAGGUGAAGACGGGUUGCUGGGCUGACACUGACGCUGAGGCGCGAAAGCUAGGGAGCAAACGG
rnacentral:rRNA from 1 species